ACAGACUGAGCCACCCCAGGUGCCCCCCUCCUCCCACCCCAGAUCUAGUCUUUAAAAGGACUGGCAGCUUCUACUUUCUUGCUCUUCGGACACUUACUUUUGAGAGGCCUGAACCACCAUGACAUAAGUAUGACUACCUUACCGGAAGGAUCCUGUGGAAAGAUUACAUGAAGAGGGAGAGAGAGAGAUCCUGUUGUCAUAAUGUCCCUGUUAUCUGAAGAGAUGUCUCCAGCCUCUCCUGUCAUCCGACUGCAACCACGUGAAGAGGCCCCAGAUGAGAUCAGCGGAAGAACUGCCCACAUGAUCUCAGGCAACCUACAGAAUCACAAGAGGGUCAUUUCAGUGCUCUCUAUUGGUGAAACUUAAAAUUCUGCCACCUGAUAAAGGAGAAGCUUUUGCAGGAUCCAAGUUCAGUAUCACAAAGUGCAGGGCAAAGAAGAAUGGAUUUGGAAUGGAGAGCCAAUAAAUUUGUAACUUGCA